rnacentral:rRNA from 1 species
GAGUUUGAUCCUGGCUCAGGAUGAACGCUAGCUACAGGCUUAACACAUGCAAGUCGAGGGGCAGCAUGGUCUUAGCUUGCUAAGGCCGAUGGCGACCGGCGCACGGGUGAGUAACACGUAUCCAACCUGCCGUCUACUCUUGGACAGCCUUCUGAAAGGAAGAUUAAUACAAGAUGGCAUCAUGAGUCCGCAUGUUCACAUGAUUAAAGGUAUUCCGGUAGACGAUGGGGAUGCGUUCCAUUAGAUAGUAGGCGGGGUAACGGCCCACCUAGUCUUCGAUGGAUAGGGGUUCUGAGAGGAAGGUCCCCCACAUUGGAACUGAGACACGGUCCAAACUCCUACGGGAGGCAGCAGUGAGGAAUAUUGGUCAAUGGGCGAGAGCCUGAACCAGCCAAGUAGCGUGAAGGAUGACUGCCCUAUGGGUUGUAAACUUCUUUUAUAAAGGAAUAAAGUCGGGUAUGGAUACCCGUUUGCAUGUACUUUAUGAAUAAGGAUCGGCUAACUCCGUGCCAGCAGCCGCGGUAAUACGGAGGAUCCGAGCGUUAUCCGGAUUUAUUGGGUUUAAAGGGAGCGUAGAUGGAUGUUUAAGUC